rnacentral:rRNA from 1 species
UAAAAUGACUCUCGAUAAUGGAUAUCUUGGCCUUUAGAUCGAUGAAGAAUGCUGUGAAAUGUGAUACUUAUUGUGAAUUGCAGAAUUUCGUGAAUCAUUGAGUUUUUGAACGUGAGUUUUGCUUUUUGCCCUUUAUUGGGUUGGGCAUGUUCGGUUGGGCGU